rnacentral:rRNA from 1 species
CGCGAAUGGCUCAUUAUAACAGCUAUCCUUUACUUGAUCUUGACACAAUCCUACUUGGAUAACUGUGGUAAUUCUAGAGCUAAUACAUGCAUUAAAGCUCUGACCGCAAGGGAAGAGUGCACUUAUUAGAACAAAACCAAGCGGCUUCGGCUGUUUUCGGUUGACUCAUAGUAACUGAGCUGAUCGCACGGUCUUGCACCGGCGACGUGUCUUUCAAGUAUCUGCCGUAUCAACUUUCGAUGGUAGUGUAUCUGACUACCAUGGUGAUCAUGCGUAACGGAGAAUAAGGGUUCGGCUCCGGAGAGUUCGCCUGAGAAAUCGCGAACACAUCUAAGGAAGGCAGCAGGCGCGAAAAUUACCCACUCUCAGCACGAGGAGGUAGUGACGAAAAAUAACGAGACCGUUCUCUUAUGAGGCCGGUCAUCGGAAUGGGUACAAUUUAAACCCUUUAACGAGUAUCUAUGAGAGGGCAAGUCUGGCGCCAGCAGCCGCGGUAAUUCCAGCU